rnacentral:rRNA from 1 species
GAAGGGUGGAGCGGUACGUCCGUCGCUCCGGCAAUGCUUAGAUGUAUCCCUCCGGCUUGUCGCUAUCCGAUGAUGAAGAUGUCUAGCCUCGUCGGCUCAGACAGAUGGGUGGCCUUCGCCUCGUCGUUGCCCGGCCUGGUGGUGUCCACCUCGUCGGUCGGACUGGGUGUCUUGCCUUCGCCUCGUCGGAGCCCGGCAAGAUAUGGGUUGCUUCAUCGGAGAAAGACAUGUCGGUGA